GUGGGGAAUAUUGGACAAUGGGCGAAAGCCUGAUCCAGCCAUGCCGCGUGUGUGAAGAACGUCUUCGGAUUGUAAAGCACUUUAAGUUGGGAGGAAGGGCAGUAAGUUAAUACCUUGCUGUUUUGACGUUACCGACAGAAUAAGCACCGGCUAACUUCGUGCCAGCAGCCGCGGUAAUACGAAGGGUGCAAGCGUUAAUCGGAAUUACUGGGCGUAAAGCGCGCGUAGGUGGUUUUGUAAGUUGGAGGUGAAAUCCCCGGGCUCAACCUGGGAACUGCCUCCAAAACUGCAUGACUAGAGUACGGUAGAGGGUAGUGGAAUUUCCUGUGUAGCGGUGAAAUGCGUAGAUAUAGGAAGGAACACCAGUGGCGAAGGCGACUACCUGGACUGAUACUGACACUGAGGUGCGAAAGCGUGCGGAGCAAACAGGAUUAGAAACCCUGGUAGUCC
rnacentral:rRNA from 1 species